rnacentral:snRNA from 1 species
GUGCUCUCUUUGGCAGCAUGUAUACUAAAAUUGGAAUGAUAUAGAGAAGAUUAGCAUGGCCCCUGCACAAGGAUGAUGUGCAAAUUCAUGAAGUGUUCCAUAAUUUU